rnacentral:rRNA from 1 species
UACAGAGGGGGCAAGCGUUAUUCGGAAUUAUUGGGCGUAAAGGGCGCGUAGGCGGCUUUGCAAGUGACGGGUGAAAUCCCACGGCUUAACCGUGGAACUGCCUGUCAGACUGCAUGGCUUGAGACCAGGAGAGGUGAGUGGAAUUCCCAGUGUAGCGGUGAAAUGCGUAGAUAUUGGGAGGAACACCAGUGGCGAAGGCGGCUCACUGGACUGGUACUGACGCUGAGGAACGAAAGCGUGGGGAGCGAACAGG